GGGCCUGUAGUCGAAUGGUUAAGACGUCGCCCUUACGAGGCGAAGAUUCUGGGUUCGAUUCCCAGCGGGCCCA
rnacentral:tRNA from 1 species